GGGUCCCAUUUGUCAUCGGCUUCCUCUGCCUCCUUCCUCUCGAUUGAGUAACUGGGACGGUGCUCUCCACAUCGCUGCCGCCGAUUGCCGGGCAUGGGCGGCCGCACCAGCAGCUAGCUCCUCGGCCAUAGCCCUUCCCCUGCCCCUCUCCUGCUCUCCUUCUCUCCCUGAUUUCUUCACUCAGCCACAAGGAGCAGCAGGCUCCUUUUCCCCCUCAGGUUUUCCUCUCUGAACAACACAGCAGCAGCAGCCAAUCCGCCCAAAUCCAUCACCCAGGUGAGCCCUAUCUCGAUUACUUUGCCAAGGUGUUCUUCAUCUCUUGUGAUCCUUUGUGACCUUUUCUUGGCGUGAAUACGCAGCCUCACUAGACGGAUUUGAAGCUUUUCCCGCCGCUGGUCUCCAUUGCCACUGCCGAGGAUCUCUCCAUCGACCACCUCGUCCAACCCUCCUCCACUCAGAAGAGCAGCGAGAAGAGCUUCAGAACGUGAAGGUGAAUCUCCCCGGCCCCUUCAGCUGCCUCACUCUCUCUGCGCCACGCGCAGCCGAGCGCCGCCGCCGCCAUGGAUGCCGCUGGCCGCGUUCCAGCCACUGCAUGCUACCGCAGUUGCUUCAAACCGACUCUCUGCGCCAUGCUGCAGCUCCCUAGACCCUCCUACCGCCGAUCCCCGCAGCCGUUCACCGCCGGUAAAGCUCGCCAAUGCCGCCACCACGCCAUGGCUGGCAAGCUUUAGGGAUCAAAAACGGAACGAAAACAAAGAGUCGAAGAGCAACAUGGGUGUGAUCAAGGGUGAACUUGAGCUUGUGAUUGAGGAGGAAGAAUCAGUGACUCAAGGCAAGCAUCAUCAUAUUACACACUAUUUUUGAAUGAAUUGUUGAUGAAUCAAAUGACUAUUAUUUGUAUGAGUAGCAUGCAUAUAGUUAUGUCUAUGUAUACCGUUAUGGUCAUAGCUCCUAAUUGUUGCAUUUACCAUUUAUUGAUAUUUGUAUACCUUGUUCCUUGACACCUACCAA